UUCCGGUUGAUCCCGCCGGACCUGACUGCUAUCGGAUUGAUACUAAGCCAUGCGAGUCAUUGUAGCAAUACAAGGCAGACGGCUCAGUAACACGUAGUCAACCUAACCUAUGGACGGGGAUAACCUCGGGAAACUGAGAAUAAUACCCGAUAGGCCAUUAUGCCUGGAAUGGUUUAUGGCUGAAAUGAUUUAUCGCCAUAGGAUGGGACUGCGGCCUAUCAGUUUGUUGGUGAGGUAAUGGCCCACCAAGACUAUUACAGGUACGGGCUCUGAGAGGAGAAGCCCGGAGAUGGGUACUGAGACACGGACCCAGGCCCUAUGGGGCGCAGCAGGCGAGAAAACUUUGCAAUGUGCGAAAGCACGACAAGGUUAAUCCGAGUGUUUCCUGCUAAAGGAAUCUUUUGUCAGUCCUAAAAACACUGAUGAAUAAGGGGUGGGCAAGUUCUGGUGUCAGCCGCCGCGGUAAAACCAGCACCUCAAGUGGUCAGGAGGAUUAUUGGGCCUAAAGCAUCCGUAGCCGGCUGCAUAAGUCUUCGGUUAAAUUCAUAUGCUCAACAUAUGGGCUGCCGGAGAUACUGUACAGCUAGGGAGUGGGAGAGGUAGACGGUACUCGGUAGGAAGGGGUAAAAUCCUUUGAUCUAUUGAUGACCACCUGUGGCGAAGGCGGUCUACUAGAACACGUCCGACGGUGAGGGAUGAAAGCUGGGGGAGCAAACCGGAUUAGAUACCCGGGUAGUCCCAGCUGUAAACAAUGCAAACUCAGUGAUGCAUUGGCUUGUGGCCAGUGCAGUGCCGCACGUAAGCCGUUAAGUUCGCCGCCUGGGAAGUACGUACGCAAGUAUGAACUUAAGGAAUUGGCGGGGGAGCACCACAAGGGUGAAGCCUGCGGUCAUUGAAUUCAACGCCGAGA
rnacentral:rRNA from 1 species